GAUGGGCUCGCGGCCUAUCAGCUUGUUAGUGGGGUAAUGGCCUACCAAGGCGACGACGGGUAGCCGGCCUGAGAGGGCGACCGGCCACACUGGGACUGAGACACGGCCCAGACUCCUACGGGAGGCAGCAGUGGGGAAUAUUGCGCAAUGGGCGAAAGCCUGACGCAGCGACGCCGCGUGAGGGAUGAAGGCCUUCGGGUUGUAAACCUCUUUCAGCGCCGAAGAAGCGAAAGUGACGGUAGGCGCAGAAGAAGCACCGGCUAACUACGUGCCAGCAGCCGCGGUAAUACGUAGGGUGCAAGCGUUGUCCGGAAUUAUUGGGCGUAAAGAGCUCGUAGGCGGUUUGUCGCGUCUGCUGUGAAAACUCGGGGCUUAACCCCGGGCCUGCAGUGGGUACGGGCAGACUAGAGUGCGGUAGGGGAGACUGGAAUUCCUGGUGUAGCGGUGAAAUGCGCAGAUAUCAGGAGGAACACCGGUGGCGAAGGCGGGUCUCUGGGCCGUAACUGACGCUGAGGAGCGAAAGCGUGGGGAGCGAACAGGAUUAGAUACCCUGGUAGUCCACGCCGUAAACGAUGGAUGCUAGCCGU
rnacentral:rRNA from 1 species